rnacentral:misc_RNA from 1 species
AACUGCACACGAUCUGAAGCUCCGACAUCUAGACUUGAUUUUUGUGGUUGAGUUAGACAUCAGAAAAUAUUUUUUAACCCCGAAAACAAAGUAACGAGGAAUAUUUGCUGUUGACUAGUUUUCUGGGAAAUUAUUUUGAAUGAAUAACGAGGUCUUGGUUACCUUAAAAGACUCUGCGUCCUCGGAGGACAUGUGGGUGACCGUUGAUGCUGUGAUUAUUGUGAAAAUGUGGGCAGGCUGAGCACUGGUUACUCUUGUGAUGUACAGAAACUCAGACGAUGGAGAUACCGAGUUCUGGAGUAUACCUACUCAUUGCUGGAAUUUGCUUCGCUGUGACCGUUCAGGUGGCGCUGGCAUCGGGCCGACUGCGAGUAACAUUGAUCCGGUACGAGUUCCUAUACUACGGGAGACAACCCACGCGCACGUCCACCCUCGCUGCGACUCAACCCACAGUAGCCGCCCCUUCGUCAACCGAGUCUGUCUCGCCGCCGCCCUCUGACGUCACUACCGACACACCGCGAGACGCCGGCGACGUCAGGGGGCCUCUGCAUCGAGAGACAGACUCAGAGGAGCCGUCGACGACGCAGGAACUUUCGUUUCCAUGGCAACAAGAGACCGUCUGCAACACGACCUCUCCGCCAAGGCCCCGCUAUCGCUUCCUCCUCUGUGUCGACUACAGCGACCCGUGAGCUGUUACUGAUAACAUAGUCUUUCCAUCAUCAUCAUCCUCGUCGUCGUUGUCGUCGUUAUUUCAAUAUUACUUCCUAUAUAUAUAUAUUCUUAUUUGUACACAGGGUGCUAUACAAAAAAAAUUAUAUUCUGUAAAAGAACCGUUUCCAGCUUUGCUGUCAUGGUCAGUUAUGUUUCUCCCUCUAAUGAUAUAUUCUGUACAUUAAUUAAUGACGUUACAUCUCACUUUGGGUGUUAGCGGAGUUCCGAACCCCAGCCCCUGUCAGCUCGAGCGUUUAGAGACCGACGCCCUACCUGCAGAGCUUUUGGCGAGGGGCGUGAUGUCGUCACGUUUCCCCUGGUGUUGUCCUCAACGUCGUCAGGUCAGCUGCGGCUCAACCCUGAGACGGUCGCCUUCAACCACUGGCCGGGUACCCUGCGCGUGUCCGUCUUCGUGACGUGUUGCGGCGUCUCGCAUGACUACACCGGUCAGUGUCAGGAGACCUUGACACACAUCAUUGCAGGUGAACCUGCUCCCAGCGGUACACAGUCGCAACCACGCACCGUCCUCCUGCAAGGCCAUGGAAGACUGAUGCUGAGAAUGGUUCUCGAGUGUGACGAGGGCUUCUACGGUCCAGCCUGCAACGUGCCAUGCGGGUGGAUACCCCAGGGAUAGAGCACGCUGUCUGCAACGUCACUACUGGUCAAAAGGAAUGCAUGGCAGGAUGGGAGGGGCCAGGGUGUCAGACUGACACUGACGAGUGCCGCUUGAGCCUCUGUCAUAAUGGCGCCGUGUGUGUCAACAGCCCACCUGGGUCUUUUACCUGCAAGUGUCCCUUGGGAACAGGAGGUCGACUAUGCGAGUCGCGAGUACAGGUGUGCCACCUUCGGCCUUGUCUCAACGGCGCCACCUGUCUGGACUCAGCCUUCGGCUUCGUGUGCUUCUGCCGUCCAGGCUUCAGUGGCUAUCAGUGCGAGACAGUCCUGGCCACGCAAGGCGGAAGUGACAUCAUGCCAGUACACAAUGUCGGGCAGCCACUUCCGGUAUCGUCCAUACAGCAUGACGGCACCUAAA